rnacentral:rRNA from 1 species
CUAAGGUAGCAUAAUCACUUGUUAUUUAAUUGAUAACUGGAAUGAAAGGUUGAACUAGCUUACCAAGUUUGUGAGAUUAUAUAGAAGAUUAAAGUUAAGGUAAGAAUUCUUUAAUUUUCUAGGGGACGAUAAGACCCUAGAAGCUUAACAAGUAGGUGGUUUGUUUUUAGAGUUUAUUUGUUUUACUGGGGCGGUAAAAGUAAUUAAGCUAUUUAUUAUUUUAAAGGAUCUUUGAGAUAAGAAAAAAAUGGGUAAGUUACUCUAGGGGUAA